GUCUGGCUGGCUCAGUUGGUAGAACAUGUGACUCUUGAUCUCGGGGUUGUGGGUUCAAGCCCCACAUUGGACG
rnacentral:tRNA from 1 species